GAUGAACGCUGGCGGCGUGCCUAAUACAUGCAAGUCGAGCGAACGGACGAGAAGCUUGCUUCUCUGAUGUUAGCGGCGGACGGGUGAGUAACACGUGGAUAACCUACCUAUAAGACUGGGAUAACUUCGGGAAACCGUAGCUAAUACCGGAUAAUAUUUUGAGCCGCAUGGUUCAAAAGUGAAAGACGGUCUUGCUGUCACUUAUAGAUGGAUCCGCGCUGCAUUAGCUAGUUGGUAAGGUAACGGCUUACCAAGGCAACGAUGCAUAGCCGACCUGAGAGGGUGAUCGGCCACACUGGAACUGAGACACGGUCCAGACUCCUACGGGAGGCAGCAGUAGGGAAUCUUCCGCAAUGGGCGAAAGCCUGACGGAGCAACGCCGCGUGAGUGAUGAAGGUCUUCGGAUCGUAAAACUCUGUUAUUAGGGAAGAACAUAUGUGUAAGUAACUGUGCACAUCUUGACGGUACCUAAUCAGAAAGCCACGGCUAACUACGU
rnacentral:rRNA from 1 species